AUGGCCAUAUCAUGUUGAAACAGUGGUUCUCAUAUGAUUACUGAAGUUAAGCAACAUUGAGCCUGGUCAUUACCUUGAUCGGUGACCACUUGGGGAUACCAGAUGCUGUAAG
rnacentral:rRNA from 1 species